CAGACCUUCAUGGAAACAGGUAAUAUAGAUCCAGGUGUCAGCCCUCUUUCUGUGAAUGGCAGUUACAAGAGAUCUCUCAUUGGUGGAUCUUCCUUUGGGUGAUGGAUAGUGAUCUUGGACCUGUGAUCCUGGGAAGAAAUCAGACUACAGACCUGAUGGAGGCCAUUUGUGACAGUGGGCAGAUAUCCUUAAGGAUGCAGUGCCUACCAAGCAUGAACAAUAGAUAGAGAGAAAACAAUAAAACAUGUAUGUUUACUACUUUAUGCAAUUAUGAAAGCUGUCACUAGAUAAAUUAAAAUCAUCCCUGUUUGUAAUAAUUCAACCUGAAACCAUUAAAAUGUUG